CGAGGGGUCCUAGCGUUGUUCGGAAUCACUGGGGCGUAAAGCGUUUGUAGGCGGCUCUAUAAGUCGGGUGUGAAAUCCCACGGCUCAACCGUGGAAGUGCAUUCGAAACUGCAGAGCUUGAAUAUGGAAGAGGAGAGUAGAAUUGCUGGUGUAGUGGUGAAAUACGUAGAUAUCAGCAGGAAUACCGGUGGCGAAGGCGGCUCUCUGGUCCAAUAUUGACGCUGAGAAACGAAAGUGCGGGGAUCAAACAGGAUUAGAUACCCUGGUAGUCCGCACCGUAAACGAUGAUCGCUUGGUGUUGGAGGUAUUGACCCCUUCAGUGCCGAAGCUAACGCGUUAAGUGCUCCGCCUGGGAAGUACGGUCGCAAGAUUA
rnacentral:rRNA from 1 species